GCCUAUAGUGACAUCUUCUGGUCAUUCCUAGUGUGCACCCCACCCCCAUGCAAGCCUGUGGUUCUCCUUCCAACUAGAAACUGUUCCCUGUCUUUCAGAGCAGAUGGAUUGCAACCCCUGGGGUUAGUAUCAGGACCAGGGUUUUGUAAGCACCAUCCCCACGUGGAGGGAGAGGAGGCACAACAGAAAGGCAGAGGCAGGCAUUCUCAGAGGCUCUCAUGGAUGUGUGACUCCUUCCAGCUGAAGGUCCCCUAGUGUCCGUAUGACAGGAGGGCAGUCCAGCGUGGGCAGCCUCCGUCUUUACGCUGUAGGGAUUACUACGGCAGCAGAGAAAUGAGUGGAGCCACACCUGGGCUCGCACACCUGGGGGUGCUAACAGCUAACCUACACUCAGAUGCCGGUAGCUCUGGAGAAGCAGUGAUUACCAGCAGCCUCCUCCUUCAGGGAGAAUAGGCCUGAGGUGGCUGACUGCCUCAACUGGAAACACUUGAUGCUGCUUGAAAUACCAUCCCGUGUGUUAAAAGGAAGAUCUGCUGAAGGGUUGCACAUACUUUAAUGGUCAAGACUCCUCGGCAUCUCUCCUAUCUCUCAGCACUGGGCCCAGCACCUUGUGGGAAUGCAGACUGGUGGGUGACAGAGGCCCAGAUACCCAGGUAAAGAAACCCACAGCCUCCAAAAUGAAUGUGUUUCCAGGGACAAAGCUGGUUAUGUCUCAAUAGUCCCUGAGAUACAGAUGCUACAGAGGGACGGCAGAGAGAUGAAUAUUUGGUGAGGCACCGGGCAUGUGGUUGGCAGAAGACAUGACAGCCUGCGGGAUAACACGGGCAAUCACUGUAGACCUGGCAGAAGGACUGUCAACGUUCUCAGGGAAAGAGACUGAACCUGUCAACUUCGCUGACACAGAAAUGCACUUUUAUCCAAAGUUCUAGGAAACACUAGAAAGAGCGUAUGUGUGACUAGCUAUUUUUUCCCGAAGGUCUUUAGAGACAUGAUAGCGCUUGUUUUCACACCCUCCUGUUGAUGCCAGGAGAGACAAGAAGGAUUAUCUGCAUUUUACACUAGGAGGAGCAGCCCUGGGAAAGUGACAUGGGGGUAGCGGUGGCAUACUGUUUUCUGACAAAGAUCACAGUUGAUGCAGGUGCCCUGGUGCCUACUGUGAAGGCCAUAAAAGAGCUUAAUCAUUCUAGAAGGUUCCAUAGGCCCGAAUAGGAGAAAUGAAGGUAAACAGGAAGAGGCUGAGUAGAGAGCAUCUCAUGAAAACCCUGGGAGAACACAUCUCCUCCCUGACCAUGAGAAAGAAGGACCCUGUUGAGGAGGUACUUGUAAGAAAGCCCAGCACACCUACUUUCUGUCAUCAUGACCUUUGAUGCCAAAAAAGCAAAACCCUCUAGAUUCCAGGGCAUGCAGAACCACUGCCCUGUCUUGUCUCUGCUGGGGCACCUGGACAUCCACCUGAAGGGAACCUCCAGGAUGGGGUAUGAUCCAUGCCACUGAAGAAAGUGAUGAGCUCUCCUUGAACCAACGUCAGGGGGUAGUUUUCAGAUUAAAUGAGAAAAUGCAUGCAGUAAAGCACUUAGAAUAGGGCCUAGGGCAUAGGAAAAACUCAAAAAUGUUACUGCUCCUUCUAAAAUUCCUGGUCCUUGUUAGAGUUGGCAGUCUUUACUACUUCUGUUGGGAAUGAAUUCUCUUAAGUUCUCAAUCUGCAUGUAAAGGAUGUUUUGCUUUCUUUUUGGUCAGGUACUUAAAAUUAUUUGACUCUAAUUGAAGACUGGUCUACUCUUGGGCUCUAUGGGGUCAGGAAAAUAAUUUAGGAUUUAGAGAAAAAUGGACCCUGGUUUCCUUCAUGGCUCUGCCACUUAUUAUUUGUGGCUUGGGGCAAAAUACACUAUCUCUUCUCAGCCUUAGUUUUCUCCUCUGUAAGCUCUAGAUGGAAUUCCUGCCUCAAUGGGUCAUCGGUUAAAUUAAGUGAGAUAAUGGAUGAGAAUGCUCUUUGCAAACUAUGAAACACUGUACAAGUAAUGGGUUCUUUUUAUUAUUAGGAAUUUUGGGCUUGACCAGACUUGCUUUCUUCCCCUGUCACAUGUAUCCUCCAGUUCACACUAAGCUUUGUAGACAGUGAUGGCCAAACUCAUAUCAGGUCUGCCAAAUGGCAUAGGACUAAUCAAUUGAUCAUUUGAUUAAAUUAUCCAGUCAAUUUAGGCAACCCAUUUUCUCAGUUGUCCUCAUCUCCAUCCACACUCAACCCCACUCAAGUGAUCCAAAACAGUGGCUUGUGAUAUCAUAUAAAUAUAUUCUUCAAGCAACACGAUGUUCUUCUUGGACCAUCUUCACCAUCCAGGGAUGCUAGGCACCCAGGAACUGAUGAUUUGUGCUUCAGAUAAAUGUGACAUCUUAAUCAACCAGUACAAAUGCUACUUCAAGCAAGCACUAACAGAUGGUGGCCUGAAUUUUAUAGCAUCGUCCGUAUUUUCCAGGCAAAAUUUAUAGUUCAGUCAUCAGUGAGCUGAGUCCUACCUCAUUUUUCUUUUCUGUUUAAUCUUUAGCAAGCAACCAUCCUGAAAACCCAAAGCAUGUUUUGUAAUGAAGCCAUAGCCGUGGACCAGUAAUGUAGUUUUAUUUCUGUCCUCCCCACUCCUCCAUUCUCAGGUUGUAUGCACCCAAUGCACAUAGUAAUGAGAGUGUCAGUCAGGUGCUGAUGGCGGAGUCCCAGGCAAGAUUGCCUUAUCUUCAAGUUGAAAUGCUAAGAAGGUGAGAUUUCACCACCUUCCAGGGCCCCUGAAGAACCUUCUAUCUACUCAACGCUACUCCUUCCAACUAAGGCCUCCGAAAGUAGGACCAGUCUUCUAAUCUUUCUGAAUCUGAGUCUAAUAUAGUCCCAAAGCACAAAGGGCAUCUUUAGAAAGGAUGGAUGAACUUAGCCUCUUGGGACAAGCCCAGAUAUGGCUGCAGUCUUGGCCUUAUCACCUAUUACCUAUGUGAUCUGGAACAAGUCAAUGUCAUCUCAGAUUCCUUGUCAGUAAAAUGAGCUAAUAAUAACCUUUGCUUUAUAAGCCUGUUGUAAUGAUUAAACAAGAUAAUAUUAUGUAAAGCACUUUGCACAGUGCCUGACACAUAGAAAGCUUUCAAUAAAUUGUAGCUAAUAAAAGCAUUAUC